CAAAGAGGAUACACCUGUUCCCAUUCCGAACACAGAAGUUAAGCUCUUUAGCGCCGAUGGUACUUGGUGGGAAGCUGCCUGGGAGAGUAGGACAUAGCCACGU
rnacentral:rRNA from 1 species